ACUUUUAAAGGAUAAUAGUCAUUCAUUGGUCUUAGGAACCAAAAAUUUUGGUGCAAUUCCAAAUAAAGUA
rnacentral:tRNA from 1 species